rnacentral:rRNA from 1 species
CCUACGGGUGGCAGCAGUGAGGAAUAUUGGUCAAUGGACGAGAGUCUGAACCAGCCAAGUAGCGUGAAGGAUGACUGCCCUAUGGGUUGUAAACUUCUUUUAUAUGGGAAUAAAAUGUUCCAAGUGUGGGAUUUUGUAUGUACCAUAUGAAUAAGGAUCGGCUAACUUCGUUCCAGCAGCCGCGGUAAUACGGAGGAUCCGAGCGUUAUCCGGGUGUAUUGGGUUUAAAGGGAGCGUAGGGGGAUUGUUAAGUUAGUUGUGAAAGUUUGCGGCUCAACCGUAAAAUUGCAGUUGAAACUGGCAGUCUUGAGUACAGUAGAGGUGGGCGGAAUUCGUGGUGUAGCGGUGAAAUGCUUAGAUAUCACGAAGAACUCCGAUUGCGAAGGCAGCUCACUGGACUGCAACUGACACUGAGGCUCGAAAGUGUGGGGAUCAAACAGGAUUAGAUACCCUGGUAGUC